CCUACGGGCGGCUGCAGUGAGGAAUAUUGGUCAAUGGACGAGAGUCUGAACCAGCCAAGUAGCGUGAAGGAUGACUGCCCUAUGGGUUGUAAACUUCUUUUAUAUGGGAAUAAAAUGUUCCACGUGUGGGAGUUUGUAUGUACCAUAUGAAUAAGGAUCGGCUAACUCCGUGCCAACAGCCGCGGUAAUACGGAGGAUCCGAGCGUUAUCCGGAUUUAUUGGGUUUAAAGGGAGCGUAGGUGGAUUGUUAAGUCAGUUGUGAAAGUUUGCGGCUCAACCGUAAAAUUGCAGUUGAAACUGGCAGUCUUGAGUACAGUAGAGGUGGGCGGAAUGCGUGGUGUAGCGGUGAAAUGCUUAGAUAUCACGAAGAACUCCGAUUGCGAAGGCAGCUCACUGGACUGCAACUGACACUGAGGCUCGAAAGUGUGGGUAUCAAACAGGAUUAGAUACCCCAGUAGUC
rnacentral:rRNA from 1 species